rnacentral:pre_miRNA from 1 species
AGUAGAGUUGCUGGGUCACAUGGUAAUUCUACCUUAACUUUUUGAGGAACUGCCAAACUGUUUUCCAAAGUGCCUAUACCAUUUUAUAUUUCCACCAGCAAU